UACGUAGGUGGCAAGCGUUGUCCGGAUUUAUUGGGUUUAAAGGGUGCGUAGGCGGCUGUUUAAGUCAGUGGUGAAAGCCGAUCGCUUAACGAUCGAACUGCCAUUGAUACUGAAUAGCUUGAGUACAGAUGAGGUAGGCGGAAUUGACAGUGUAGCGGUGAAAUGCAUAGAUAUUGUCAAGAACACCGAUUGCGAAGGCAGCUUACUAAAGUGUCACUGACGCUGAGGCACGAAAGUGCGGGGAGCGAACAGG
rnacentral:rRNA from 1 species